UACGGAGGGGGCUAGCGUUGUUCGGAAUUACUGGGCGUAAAGCGCACGUAGGCGGUCUUUUAAGUCGGGGGUGAAAUCCUGGAGCUCAACUCCAGAACUGCCUUCGAUACUGGAAGACUUGAGUCCGGGAGAGGUGAGUGGAACUGCGAGUGUAGUGGUGAAAUGCGUAGAUAUCGAGAGGAACACCAGUGGCGAAGGCGGCUCACUGGGCACCACCUGACGCUGAGGCGCGAAAGCGUGGGGAGCGAACCGG
rnacentral:rRNA from 1 species